GGCAAACGGGUGAGUAACACGUGAGUAACCUACCCUUAAGACUGGAAUAGCCCAGAGAAAUCUGGGGUAAUGACAGAUGUGACUACGACAGCUAUGCUGAAGUAGUAAAAAGACGGGGAUCGUAAGACCUGUCACUUAGGGAGGGGCUCGCGGCCUAUCAGCUUGUUGGUGAGGUAAUGGCUCACCAAGGCGAAGACGGGUAGCUAGUCUGAGAGGAUGUUUAGCCACACUGGAACUGAGACACUGUCCAGACUCCUACGGGAGGCUGCAGUCGAGAAUCUUUAGCAAUGGGGGAAACCCUGACUAUGCGACGCCGCGUGAGGGAUGACGGUCUUCGGAUUGUAAACCUCUUUCGAUCGGGAAGAACAUCCCACAUUUUAAUAAAUUGUGGGACUGACGGUACCGGGAGAAGAAGCCACGGCCAACUCCGUGCCAGCAGCCGCGGUAAUACGGAGGUGGCGAGCGUUACUCGGAUUUAUUGGGUGUAAAGGGCAGGUAGGUGGCUCAUCAAGUGGGAAGUGAAAUCCUCCGACUUAAUCGGAGAACUGCUUUCCAAACUAGUGAGCUUGAGUGUGAGAGAGGAGAAUGGAACUCCUGGUGUAAGGGUGAAAUCUGUAGAGAUCGGGAGGAACGCUGUUGGCGAAGGCGAUUCUCUGGAUCACGACUGACGCUGAACUGCGAAAGUUAGGGGAGAGAACGGGAUUAGAUACCCUGGUAUUCCUAAC
rnacentral:rRNA from 1 species